rnacentral:lncRNA from 1 species
AAUAUAAACAAAUAUUCUCAACCAUAAAUUUUGAUUCUUUCUUAAUUAAAUUCAUGCUUUUAACCAGAAUCGUAUUGUUUAAACGCGUUCAUAGUUUUUUUUUUUUUUUUUUUUGGUUGCCAUGUACUUUUGUUAUCGAUUAGAUGAUAUCUAUGUACAUUGUUAUUACGUCAACGAAGCAGAAUAUUUAUCGUAUAAAGGAAGACUAAAAAAAACAGAGAACACUUUUAUUAAUGCAUUUUUGUAAAUAAUACAGAUAAAAUCACUACACAGUUCUUUGUAAUUAUAGCUAUAUAAUUAUGUUACAAUUAAUGUUCCAAUGUUUCUUGUUUAGUUUUUGCAUUUCUUUUUUCACGAUGGGUAUUUAAUUUCCAAAUUUUUUUUUAGAACUAUUAUUGGAACCACUCGAUUUAUUCAACUUUGAUAAAGGUCGAUCAGCAACCUCGAUUUAUUUCAACAUGAUGUAGGUUUUAUGUACGGUUAAAGCGUAUCACCUGGUGAAUUAUCGAGUUUCUGGAAUGCGUAGGAUGACAAACGGGAUUGCUAUAAACGGUUCAUUACUAUGUAUAUUAGGGAUGAACCUAUGAUAAUCUUGAUACAGGAUAAUCUUUGAAACAGAGAUUCGUGAUUCGAAGAAGUAAAAAUACAAUAACAAAAAUUAUUCAUAAAUUAACUUUAUACAACAAAUCAUUGGGAUUUUAAUUUUGUGGAAUCAAUUGAUAUCAAAGAAACUCUAUAAGUAUUUAAGUAAGAACAUACAUUGAUUCUUAAACGUAGCAAAUUAACAGUCAACAUUCUUAAGAAAGCCUUCAAGACUUAAGAAUUUAAAUUGGACAACACUCAUUCAGGAUACACAUUUGCACUUUGAAUUUCAAAUCUUCAAAUUUGUCUAAUCUUCAAACUUCAAAAUUCAAAUUAAAUAAAAUUUGUAAGGCUCAGAAUUUUUGAAAUCUACAAAUAUCUGGCUGUGAUAAUCAAUAUCCAUAUAAUUUAUUAUUUAUUAAUAUUACAUUAAUGUAAAAAGAAAAGGAGAGAAAAGAAAGAAAAGGAAAAAUGGAUUGAAAAUCAAUUAAUUGGUCACGGAAUCUAUGUCUUUACAAAAACGAAUGAAUCGACGAAGCAUGCUUUAAAAUUGUCCGAAGUGAAACAAUACUCGAAAUUGAUACGAAUUGUCGAUCCAUAGUUUGAUUAAAAAAUGGGACGAAACAAACUUCACCAACUUUGAAUUUAUAACGACGAUUGCAAUUCAUGUAGUAUAUGCUCGAUUGUUGAAUAGUACAAUGGGUGUGCAAGACAAACCAGUUAUAUACGUGAUUGCUAUCACCUAAUCUAUUAUUUACACAUUACACGUUCACAAGGCAAAUGCGUUUACCGAUUUGGACGAUGUUUUCCGACUUCCAACAUAAUGUUGCUUACAAUUUAACAUAGUAUGAUCAAUUCGAAGAUUAUUUUGAAAAUAGUGAUUAUUUUUUUAAUCAAUUGAAUACAAAUUAGAUCAAGAAAUAAUGCAACACGAUUGUUACAGAAGUUAAAAUUUAACUUUUCAAUAAUAUGAUUUUUCUGUAUUUUAUUUUAUAAGAUAUUUUAUACAAGAAGUUUUCACAGAUCAAAAAUAAUCCAGUUUCAAACCAUCCAUUUCUCGAUUAUCAAAAAUAACGAGAUAAACAAAGUAUAUAUUACUAUUUUUCUUAAUU